CCUACGGGGUGCUGCAGUAGGGAAUAUUGCGCAAUGGGGGAAACCCUGAAGCAGCAACGCCGCGUGGAGGAUGAAGGUUUUCGGAUCGUAAACUCCUUUUGUUAGAGAAGAUCAUGACGUUAUCUAAUGAAUAAGCACCGGCCAACUCCGUGCCAGCAGCCGCGGUAAUACGGAGGGUGCGAGCGUUACUCGGUAUGACUGGGCGUAAAGUGCGCGUAGGCGGGAUAGCAAGUCAGAGGUGAAAUCCUAGGGCUUAACCAUAGAACUGCAUUUGAAACUGUUAAUCUAGAGUAUGGGAGAGGUAGGUGGAAUUCUUGGUGUAGGGGUAAAAUCCGUAGAGAUCAAGAGGAAUACUCAUUGCGAAGGCGACCUGCUAGAACAUAACUGACGCUGAUGCGCGAAAGCGUGGGGAGCAAACAGGAUUAGAUACCCCAGUAGUC
rnacentral:rRNA from 1 species